UACGAAGGUCCCGAGCGUUGUUCGGAAUCACUGGGCGUAAAGGGAGCGUAGGCGGUCGGGCAAGUCAGACGUGAAAUCCCGGGGCUCAACCCCGGAACUGCGUCCGAUACUGCCUGACUGGAGCAAUGGAGAGGUAGCCGGAAUUCACGGUGUAGCAGUGAAAUGCGUGGAUAUCGUGAGGAACACUCGUGGCGAAAGCGGGCUACUGGACAUUUGCUGACGCUGAGGCUCGAAGGCCAGGGUAGCGAAAGGG
rnacentral:rRNA from 1 species